UUUUGACAUCUUCAGAUUAUGAAAAUAUAGCCUCAGGCAAGUUCCCAAGGCAUCUUCCAAUGAGAUUGCUACUCUUCAGCAAUUCUGAAGUUGCCUCUGCAUGUAGUGCUUUAUGAUGUACAAGUGCUGCCUCACACUUGUUACUCGAUCUGUCUUUAUCUCUUAGGUAAUCCCUCCAAACUUCUUGUGGAACUCAUACUGCUCCUCAGAAGUGCUGAUUGAAAUGAAAUGAUUUUUUCUGCCCACAAGAUGCUUGGCUUGAAUGUGAGUUGCUGUCUACAACAUACAAGGAGAGCAAAGGAAGACCAGUGAGGAGCUCAUUCCCAAGAUCAUGACCAUAGGAAGGACCCUAGGCAUCUGGCUUGAUUCCUGAAAAACAAAAUCAAGAAUCCAGGUUGAAAGAUAACAGUAUUGGGGACACACUGUUCUCAUGGCAGAGGAAAAAGAACAAUGGGAGAGGAAAAGCAUCUAAAUGCAGCAUCUCAGAAGCUAAGCAUGGAGAACAUUUCAAGAAGAAAUGGGUGGCCACUGCUGAGAGCUACACAGGAUACCUAAGAUCUCCUUUGCUUGGGAGCCUGGUGGAAGUGUCAUGCCUGUUAUGCCACUGUAGUUUGUGAAGAGCGGCUACAGUGUUCAGACAGGAUGAAGCUUCGGACUGACUUGUGGCAAAGCCACAUACAAGUCUCAUCUUUACUACCAAAUCGGUUUUAAUCAGACACUAAUAAUUCAUGUUUAUUUUUUUGGCUUGAUCUUGAGUUGAAGGUGUAUGGGACAAGAUCCUGGGUUGCAGUGGAUAAACCAUGAAGGUCGCAUGGUGUGUUAAAAAGUACACUGGCUCAAUAAAUAUUAAUUCAUUUCUUAA